rnacentral:rRNA from 1 species
AAUCAACGCUGGCGGCGUGCCUCAGACAUGCAAGUCGAACGAUUAAAGCUCUCUUCGGAGAGUGUAUAGAGUGGCGCACGGGUGAGUAACACGUAAGUAAUCCACCUUCGAGUGGGGAAUAAACGUCCGGAAACGGACGCUAAUACCGCAUAAUGCAGCGGCAUCGCAAGAUGACAGUUGUUAAAGAUUUAUCGCUUGAAGAGGAGCUUGCGGCGGAUUAGCUAGUUGGUAAGGUAAUGGCUUACCAAGGCUACGAUCUGUAACCGGUCUAAGGGGACGGUCGGUCACACUGACACUGAACAACGGGUCAGACUCCUACGGGAGGCAGCAGUCGGG